GGAGGGACAUACCGCGAGGUGAAUUUUGAUCGUGAAGAAAAUAGGUGCCUCUAUAGUUUCAUUUUUUGGUUGGAUGCACGAGGCACUGACUGUGCCUUUUCAGAGCAAGUACAAUAAGGUACAGUCAGCAGGCUGUAAGGAUUAAAAUAUUAUGGCCCUGUUUCUUUAAAAAGUCCUAGGAUUUUUUUUAGUCCCAACUAAAAAGUCUCUAGUCCCUACCUGUUUCUUUCCAAGGACUAAACAUAGACUAGAGGUCAUUAAAUGACAUGUAAAAAGACCAUGUU
rnacentral:lncRNA from 1 species